rnacentral:rRNA from 1 species
GAUGAACGCUGGCGGCGUGCCUAACACAUGCAAGUCGAGCGAUCUCUUCGGAGAGAGCGGCGGACGGGUGAGUAACGCGUGGGUAACCUGCCCUGUACACACGGAUAACAUACCGAAAGGUUUGCUAAUACGGGAUAAUAUAUAAAAGUCGCAUGGCUUUUAUAUCAAAGCUUUUGCGGUACAGGAUGGACCCGCGUCUGAUUAGCUAGUUGGUAAGGUAACGGCUUACAAAGGCGACGAUCAGUAGCCGACCUGAGAGAGUGAUCGGCCACACGGGAACUGAGACACGAUCCAGAAUCCUACGGGAGGCAGCAGUGGGGAAUAGUGCACAAUGGGCGAGAUCCUGAUGCAGCAACGCCGCGUGAGCGAUGAAGGCCUUCGGGUCGUAAAGCUCUGUCCUCAAGGAAGAUUAUGACGGUACUUGAGGAGGAAGCCCCGGCUAACUACGUGCCAGCCGCCGCGGUAA